rnacentral:rRNA from 1 species
AUUGAACGCUGGCGGCAGGCCUAACACAUGCAAGUCGAACGAGUGGCACGGGUGAGUAAUGUCUGUGAAACUGCCCGCAGGAGGGGGAUAACUCUUGGAAACAGUAGCUAAUAUCGCAUACCAUCUGAUGGGCCCAGAUGGGAUUAGCUAGUAGGUGGGGUAACGGGUCACCCAGGCGACGAUCCCUAGCUGGUCUGAGAGGAUGACCAGCCACACUGGAACUGAGACACGGUCCAGACUCCUACGGGAGGCAGCAGUGGGGAAUAUUGCACAAUGGGCGAAAGCCUGAUGCAGCCAUGCCGCGUGUAUGAAGAAGGCCUUCGGGUUGUAAAGUACUUUCAGCGAGGAGGCGUUAUUCGUAGAAGAAGCACCGGCUAACUCCGUGCCAGCAGCCGCGGUAAUAC